rnacentral:rRNA from 1 species
AUUGAACGCUGGCGGCAGGCCUAACACAUGCAGGUCGAACGAGUGGCGGACGGGUUAGUAAUGUCUGGGAAACUGCCCGAUGGAGGGGGAUAACUACUGGAAACGGUAUCUAAUACCGCAUACCAUCGGAUGUGCCCAGAUGGGAUUAGCUAGUAGGUGGGGUAACGGUACACCUAGGCGACGAUCCCUAGCUGGUCUGAGAGGAUGACCGGCCAACCGGGAACUGAGAAACGGCCCAGACUCUUCCGUGAGGCAGCAGUGGGGAAUAUUGGACAAUGGUCGAAAGCCUGAUGCAGCCAUGCCUCGGGGAUGAAGAAGGCCUUCGGGUUGUAAAGUACUUUAAGCGAGGAGGCGGUACCUGCAGAAGAAGCACCGGCUAACUCCGUGCUAGCAGCCGCGGUAAUAC